AUUGAACGCUGGCGGCAGGCCUAACACAUGCAAGUCGAACGGUAGCACAGAGAGCUUGCUCUCGGGUGACGAGUGGCGGACGGGUGAGUAACGUCUGGGAAACUGCCCGAUGGAGGGGAAUAACUACUGGAAACGGUAGCUAAUACCGCAUAACGUCGCAAGACCAAAGUGGGGGACCUUCGGCCUCACACCAUCGGAUGUGCCCAGAUGGGAUUAGCUAGUAGGUGGGGUAAUGGCUCACCUAGGCGACGAUCCCUAGCUGGUCUGAGAGGAUGACCAGCCACACUGGAACUGAGACACGGUCCAGACUCCUACGGGAGGCAGCAGUGGGGAAUAUUGCACAAUGGGCGCAAGCCUGAUGCAGCCAUGCCGCGUGUAUGAAGAAGGCCUUCGGGUUGUAAAGUACUUUCAGCGGGGAGGAAGGCGGUGAAGUUAAUAACUUCACCGAUUGACGUUACCCGCAGAAGAAGCACCGGCUAACUCCGUGCCAGCCGCCGCAGUAA
rnacentral:rRNA from 1 species